UACGUAGGGGGCUAGCGUUGUCCGGAAUCAUUGGGCGUAAAGCGCGCGUAGGCGGCCCUGUUAGUCCGCUGUAAAAGUCAAAGGCUCAACCUUUGAAUGCCGGUGGAUACUGCAGGGCUAGAGUCCGGAAGAGGCGAGUGGAAUUCCUGGUGUAGCGGUGGAAUGCGCAGAUAUCAGGAGGAACACCAACGGCGAAGGCAGCUCGCUGGGACGGUACUGACGCUAAGGCGCGAAAGCGUGGGGAGCGAACAGGA
rnacentral:rRNA from 1 species